AUUGAACGCUGGCGGCAUGCUUUACACAUGCAAGUCGAACGGUAACAGGCCUUCGGGUGCUGACGAGUGGCGAACGGGUGAGUAAUGCAUCGGAACGUGCCCAGAGGUGGGGGAUAACGCAGCGAAAGCUGUGCUAAUACCGCAUGUGAUCUGAGGAUGAAAGCGGGGGACCCAGCAGCAAUGUUUGGCCUCGCGCCUCUGGAGCGGCCGAUGUCAGAUUAGGUAGUUGGCGGGGUAAAGGCCUACCAAGCCGACGAUCUGUAGCUGGUCUGAGAGGACGACCAGCCACACUGGGACUGAGACACGGCCCAGACUCCUACGGGAGGCAGCAGUGGGGAAUUUUGGACAAUGGGCGCAAGCCUGAUCCAGCAAUGCCGCGUGCGGGAAGAAGGCCUUCGGGUUGUAAACCGCUUUUGUACGGAACGAAAAGGCUCUGGCUAAUACCUGGGGCUGAUGACGGUACCGUAAGAAUAAGCACCGGCUAACUACGUG
rnacentral:rRNA from 1 species